UCCUCCCUCUGGCUUCGUGCCUAAUACAUGCAAGUCGAACGAUAGCGACCGUUGCUUGCACUGGUCUAUCUAGUAGCGACCAGGUGAGUAGCAAGUGGGUAAUCUGCUCAUCAGAGCGGGAUAACAUCCGGAAACGGAUGUUAAAACCGCGUAGGUCUUCGAGCCGCUUGCCUUGUAGAGGAAGAGAGGAGAUAGCUUCUGCUGAUGGAUGGCCCCGCGGUGCAUUAGCUGGUUGGUGGGGUAACGGCUCACAAAGGCCGUGAUGCAGAGCCGACGUGAGGGGGGGAUCGGCCGCAAUGGGACUGAUACACGGCCGAAACGCCUCCUGGAGGCAGCAGUAGGGAAUCUUCCGGAAUGAACGCAAGUCUGACGGUGCAACGCCGCGGGAGGGAAGAAGGUGUUCUGCGCGUUAAACUCUGCUGUUAGAGAAGAACAAGUGCUGGAGUAACUGUUAGCGGCUUGACGGUAGCUAGCCAGAAAGCCACGGCUAACUACGUG
rnacentral:rRNA from 1 species